UUAUCACCAUAGCAACAAUCUCUUGAGUGCGAUAUGCGCUCUUUUUGGCAGUAGAUCUUAAGCGUCUGGAUAACAGUGAGCGUCGGUCAUUUACACUUAAUAAUCGUCUGGAUGAUCUCGAACAUGGUUUUGAUGGAAAGUAUACCAAUUAACAAUGCAUUGUCAGAUGGGAACGUUAAACAAGGAGACGUCACUUGCGGUAUAUAAUACAGCGUUUCACGGCAUUGUCUUCCUAACAAUGAUGCCCGAUGGAUGAACUUUUUGGUCCAUCAAAAAAACAAAAAAACAAACACAGAGUCAGACUCGGAGCCAAAGUUGUUGAGUCUAAGAACUCAUCAUGAAGAUGACUAUAUGAGUGCACCUACCUACUCAAGUGUGGUCAAAGCUUCCAGCCCCCUACCAAUAAUAUCAGAGAUGUUUUAAAUGCGGAAUCAACAUAUUUGCAAUAAUUUAGCGUUACGCCUUAUGCCAUUAAUCACCAUGAACAGUUAGAGCAUCGAUGUAAUUACAUCGAUGGGUGCAACUGAUCAGAAUUAUUGUUAUAAGUUAAAUUAUGUGUUACAAUAAUACGAUUUCUGUCACUUGCAUUUAUUAACAAAGAAAGAAUACAAUUAUUUAAAUAGAUGAUGAAAAAUCUAAUAACGAACAUUUUGGGGCUUUUUCCAGCCAUUUUUGGAAAAGGAGUCUGGUCUAAUUGGGAUUUUUAAAUCGAUUAAAUGGCGUGCACUGUACAUAUACGGUCUAAUGUCAUGCAGUUCAUCUUCAUCUUCAUAAUGAUCAUAUUCGUCAGAAAAGCCCAUAAUUUAACAUAAAAGUAUUGAUAUAAUAGCAAUGCAGUUUAUCGUCUCGGCAGAAAUCACGGUGCCUAUACCACGUGCCUUUUUAAGAUCUGUGUGGGGAGUUAAAUGUCAACAAAAGCACGACAAAGGUAAGAUUUUUAAGGAUAACUUUUUUAAUAUGUCAUCAUUUUCAAUGGGAUAAAGUGGAGAGCCCGCUCAUUCAUGAGAGUUUUCUAUAGGUAUCAUGAUUUUGUAAAACAAAUGAAUAUUGUUUCAGUAAAGUGCAACCGCGCGUUUGAACGGUUAGAAAAAGUAAUCACCUAUUUGGCACUAGUGAGCGGACAAGGGUUAAGGGAAGAAAAAACAAAGGAAACAGUUUCACGAGGCAGGAAUGCUAUACAGAAGGAGACACGAGGAGUAAGGUGGGCGCGGGCGAGACGAAACGAUAGCAAACUGUUGCCAACAAUAAGAAUGCGGAUAGACGAACACAAUGGACAUUUUUAUUCUGACACAAAUUCUGCAAUAAAAAUUAUGUCAAAUAUUACACAGGUUGACAAAAAGCAAAGGCAUGUUCUUUCCGGAGUAAUACGUAUGUUUUAAAAUCAAAUUUGGAAUACAAGCUGAUAAAAUAGAAUACACCAGACGUAUUGGCUUGUCAUUUUGUUGUUAUUUAAAGUUUAAGGUAAACGGUAUGUUUAUUAAAAACAAAAUACUGGUCAUAGUAGAAACAUAUAUAUAUGUGUGUGUUUGUGUGUUUUAUUUCAUAUAUAGAAUUUAUAUUGCAGCAUUAGUUUAUUACAUAGCAUAGAUAUUGACAAUCAUUCGCCAUGUGUUGGUGAUAAUGUCAUGUUAUAAAUUAUGUCGUUGUAUUCAGUGUAACAAAUGUAUGCUUAUCUUUAGCGUUAAUUAUUUUGAAGAGAAUAUAAAAAGUAA